UACGUAGGGUGCAAGCGUUGUCCGGAAUUAUUGUGCGUAAAGAGCUCGUAGGCGGUUUGUCGCGUCUGCUGUGAAAACGCGAGGCUCAACCUCGCGCCUGCAGUGGGUACGGGCAGACUAGAGUGCGGUAGGGGAGAUUGGAAUUCCUGGUGUAGCGGUGAAAUGCGCAGAUAUCAGGAGGAACACCGGUGGCGAAGGCGGAUCUCUGGGCCAUUACUGACGCUGAGGAGCGAAAGCGUGGGGAGCGAACAGG
rnacentral:rRNA from 1 species